UGCACUUGUUUCUUUUGGAUUUUAUUUUUCUUUUUCCCUUUCUUAAAGGGGUGACCCUUGGAUGAACCUCCCACAAAGUUCACCGUCUUCUUAAGAAGUUGGUGAUCAUUCUCAAACGUCUGUAGUAACCCCAACAAUUGGUGAUAAUUCACUACAGGUUUCGUCAUACGAAAAUGAGUGAGAAAAGGACGGUAUGAUCCAG
rnacentral:lncRNA from 1 species